CAGUAGCCGCGGGAAUACAGAGGGUGCAAGCGUUAAUCGGAAUUACUGGGCGUAAAGCGCGCGUAGGUGGUUUGUUAAGUUGGAUGUGAAAUCCCAGGGCUCAACCUGGGAACUGCAUCCAAAACUGGCAAGCUAGAGUAUGGUAGAGGGUGGUGGAAUUUCCUGUGUAGCGGUGAAAUGCGUAGAUAUAGGAAGGAACACCAGUGGCGAAGGCGACCACCUGGACUGAUACUGACACUGAGGUGCGAAAGCGUGGGGAGCAAACAGGAUUAGAUACCCGAGUAGUCCCUGUCUCUUAUAC
rnacentral:rRNA from 1 species